CUGUGACUGAGCGUCGGGAAAACAUUUUUAAGGGAGGAAGGAAUUGCUGCGGCAGCAUCUCCGAGUCUCUCUCCUUUUUCUCCUCUGAGUUACAUAGGAUAACUUGGCCAGAACUUACUGAUGACUGCACGGCCAGCGGAGCCGGGAAUGGGAAAUGCAGGAAGGCGCUCUUUGGCAGGAGCAGAAGAGGAGGCAUUUCAAAGAUCCUGCAGGUGACCGAGUUUCACUACUCUUCUGCACUGAGAGUACAAGAGUAUCCAGGUACAAGAGCUCCUGGAUCUCAAAGAUCGACAUCUGUGAAAGGACAGCAGAGAAGCC
rnacentral:lncRNA from 1 species